rnacentral:RNase_P_RNA from 1 species
CGGGUCAGACAGACGGUCGCCCCACACGAACAGAUGCCCACCCUUGGUGAAGGCGGAUGUCAUGGGGGAGGAAAGUCCGAACACCGAUUCCUUCAGCAAUGAAAGAAUGAUGGAGAGCCGCUAACGGCGGCCAGGAUAUAGCGAGAUUGAACGAAAGGACACGUGCCGGCCGUUUCCUCGUAAACCUAGGGAAAGUGCCACAGAGACAAUUCUAAUCCAAGAGGGAUGCCCUUCUUGGACAAAAGGUGAAACGUGAUGUGAUGUGGCUCCGUAACCCAACGGGUAACGUGGCUGCUACACCUCUCUGGCGUUGGUAACAGCGUCAGUGGUAAACCCUCUCCGGUGCAAGAGCAAGAGUCUGUUUCUCAACUUCGAACAGAAGUGGGGGAAGAGACGACUGGUAGCUCGCAACGAGGUUCGUGGUAACACGAGCCCCAGAUAGAUGACCGUCAUCCCCCUGCGCCCCACGGGCUACGGGAGAGACAAAAUUCGGCUUAUCGUCUGAUCCGAACA